rnacentral:rRNA from 1 species
CGGCCCUUAUGUCCUUGCUAUUGGAUGAUGGGAUUUAAACCUCUUCCAGAGUAUCAAUUGGAGGGCAAGUCUGGUGCCAGCAGCCGCGGUAAUUCCAGCUCCAAUAGCGUAUAUUAAAAUUGUUGCAGUUAAAAAGCUCGUAGUUGAAUUUCUGCUGCAUUGCUUUUGCUCCUUUACGAGUCUUUGCAUUGUGGCUUAUUUCGGACUUUGUUUUACAAUGUCCGGAUGUUUACUUUGAGAAAAUUAGAGUGCUCAAAGCAGGCUUUCGCCUUGAAUAGUUUAGCAUGGAAUAAUAAAGUAGGACUUUGGUUCUAUUUUGUUGGUUUUAGGUACCAAAGUAAUGGUUAAUAGGAACAGUUGGGGGCAUUCGUAUUUAACUGUCAGAGGUGAAAUUCUUAGAUUUGUUAAAGACGAACUACUGCGAAAGCAUUUGCCAAGGAUGUUUUCAUUAAUCAAGAACGAAAGUUAGGGAAAUCGAAAAA